ACAUACGGCCAUAGCCAUUAGAGAAAUCUGGUUCCCGUCCGAUCACCAAUGAUAAUCUAAUGAGCGCCGGAUUAGUAGUUGGGUCGGUGACGACCAGCGAAUACCUGGUGUUGUAUGUA
rfam:Aschersonia aleyrodis RCEF 2490 scaffold_1, whole genome shotgun sequence.